rnacentral:rRNA from 1 species
UUUUAAUGGCCGCGGUAUUAUGACCGUGCAAAGGUAGCGUAAUCAUUUGUCUUCUAAAUAAAGACCAGUAUGAAUGGCUAAACGAAAGCCUUACUGUCUCUCUAGACCAGUCAAUGAAAUUGAUUUUCCCGUGCAGAAGCGGGAAUAAUAUUAUAAGACGAGAAGACCCUGCGGAGCUUUAAACUCUAAUUAAUAAUCAGAUAUAUUUAAUAACCAGUUUUAGGUUGGGGCGACCAUGAGGUACAACACAACCCUCACGACAUAAACAAAGAAGGACACUUCAAACAACUACAUUAGUAUAUUGACCCAACAUUUGAUCAACGAACCAAGUUACCCCAGGGAUAACAGCGCAAUCCGCUCAAAAAGUCCAUAUUAACGAGCAGGUUUACGACCUCGAUGUUGGAUCAGGACACCCAAAUAGUGCAACAGCCAUUAAAGGUUCGUUUGUUCAACGAUUAAAGUCCU